rnacentral:rRNA from 1 species
GAUGAACGCUGGCGGCGUGCUUAACACAUGCCAGUCGAACGAAGCACUUUAUCUGAUUUCCUUCGGGACUGAGUAUUUUGUGACUGAGUGGCGGACGUGUGAGUAACGCGAGGGUAAGCUGCCUUGUACAGGGGGAGAACAGUUGGGAACGGCUGCUACUACCGCAUAAGCGCACAGCAUCGCAUGCGGCAGUGGGAAAAACUCCGGCGGGAUAAGAUGGAGGCGCGUUGGAUUAGCUAGUUGGUGAGGUUACGGCCCACCAAGGCGACGGUGCAUAGCCGAGCUGAGAGGGUGCCCGGCCGCGUUGGGACUGAGACACAGCCCCAAAUCGUACGGGAGGGAGCAGUGGAGAAUAUUGCAGAAUGGGCGAAAGCCUGAUGCAGCGACGCCGGGUGAGCGAAGCAGUAUUUCGGUAUGUAAAGCUCUAUCAGCAGGGAAGAUAAUGACGGUACCUGACUAAGAAGCACCGGCUAAAUACGUG